UAUGAAUGUAGAUUUAUCAGUCAAAUAAUCUUCUUUAGUAUAAUAAAACCGAAAUGUUUAUUGCUCAAUAUUUGCAGGUUAAUUACAUAUUCAAAUGAAAUUCACAUCCGGUCAACAUAUGGAUUCAAGUUAUCACUGCUUAUAAUCUUUUCGAACUGCAAGCGACUGACAUGCGCUUGCAUUAAACCCGAUGAUUGACUGGGACUCCCCCCGCUCCAGCUUCUGCCCGCCAUACCUUCCUAAUUGCCUCUAAGCUGCAGUUGUGCAGCGACGUGUUUGAUUAAAAAGUGGUUGUUUGUGCUGUGUGUUGUGUAGUGUAGUGUAAAGAGUGUAGUGCAGAGAGAGCGAAAAAGAGAGCUGGCGCUUUGCUCUCUCAUAUUUGUG